GCGAUAUCCAAUUCCAACUAUUUUAUCAACUUGUUCACAACCUAUUUUAUUACUGCUUUUCUUUUGUGUCACAACGUAUCCCGUGAAUGUCGCUCUGGCUGCGUCGUUUCUUGAAAUCGCACGCUCCGAGUUAGAGUGCGUCCUGUAGGGUUGAGGUAUUGUGUCUAAAUCGCAGCCCUGCGGCAAGGCAAGGCAGGUUGUUCAUUUGGUUCAAUUGGUGUUUGCCCAUUCGCUAUGGAAAUACUGAGACAGAGAUCUGAAACGUGAUAAUUUUGUCCCCAAAAUUCAGGUUAAUUGAUAGGUUCAUUGUAGAUGAAUUCUCUCUGCUCUCAGCCUUUUGCUCACUACAACACAGCCACUGAACAUGCGUGCUUCCUAACAACAGCCUCAGGGUCAGAGCUCUUAAAACCGGAAAAUUCACAACAAUGCUUGAGGAACUUAAAGAGCUUAAUAUGUCUUUGAUGGGUAUAUUUUCAUUUAGAAAUUGGGUUCGUGCCUGUCUUUUGUGCUGAAAUAUAUUUGCAGGAAACGUCCAGAAGAUUUCCUUCACAGGGCACAUACUAAAGGAUUGUUAUAUAUGAUACGGGCAGAGACACAUACCGUAAUUUGAAGCUUGCAGAAUUUUAUCGGCACGAUCAAUUUUUAAUGAGUUCAAUGCAAACCUUAUAAAUAUUUGGAUUCUCUAACUGAAUCUGAUGAAGGUUGGUGCUGCUAUGAUUUACAUAAAAGAGCCUUUUAAAAGUUUUGAGUUUUAUGCUUGACUUUGUUUUGGUACAUUAUUCUAUUUUGAUUUACAUUUUAGAGAGAUGGUUGUGGCUUCUUUAUUCCAAUUUCUACAGACUUAGAGUUCUAUCUGCAUAAAAAUUAACAAAAUGUAUGAUUUUACGGGUACUAUAGCAUAGAUCAAUGGAUUUAUUAUUUGGAA